UACGGAGGAGGCAAGCGUUAUCCGGAAUUAUUGGGCGUAAAGCGUCCGCAGGUGGCACCUCAAGUCUGCUGUCAAAGACCGGGGCUUAACCCCAGAAAGGCAGUGGAAACUGAAGUGCUAGAGUGCAGUAGGGGUAGAGGGAAUUCCCGGUGUAGCGGUGAAAUGCGUAGAGAUCGGGAAGAACAUCAGUGGCGAAGGCAGGUCUCUGGGCCGAUACUGACGCUGAGGAGCGAAAGCGUGGGGAGCGAACAGG
rnacentral:rRNA from 1 species